ACCUCUGUGCCCAGCUCAGCGGGGAGGGAGAGGUCAUAAGCAAGGGGUCCGCAGCAUUGGCUGGCUCGCACCUGCUGCAGUAGGCGUGAAAGGGUGACAUCGAAAGGGUAAGGACCGCAGAGCACAUGCCAGGCGAAUGGUGUCAGCGGAGUGGGCUGGAGGGGAGUUGGCCUCAGGCUUGUCGAGAGGUGGAGGAUCCAGGAGGACUUCCUCUCCCUGCCACCACCCCCAGGGCAUAGUGCUGCAGAAUUAGGGUCAUGAUGGGGAUGCCUUCUGCCUGCCUCCGGGCAUAGGUCUGUGCUGUGAGUCGGGCCCCUGGAAGGGCAGCUGUGGGGAGAAUCCAUCGCUGGACCUUUAAGGGCCUAUCGCUGCUGGUGGAGUGUCCUGCUCGUUAACCUGGACUCCCCCUUCCUUUCAGUGAAGAGCAACUGAGGCAGCAGCGGCAGAGCUGGCCAGACUUGCGCAACCUUCACAUGCAGGAACAAACGAGCCAUUCCCAGGAAGGCUCUGGAAGGGUUUUGGCUGCGAGAAGGCAGAGCACAGAGCAUACGGAUGAGGAGCAAGGCCAGGUGGCUGGUGCUGGGAGAAGGGAGCUGAGUGUGCAGUUUGGGGACAGCGCUGAGAGUGAUGAAGGUUGAUCCUGACCCUCCUGAGGACCCGCUGCUGAACUCUCUGCCUGAGCUCUCAGUGCUGGAGCGGCUGGGCCUGCACAGGAGGUGGCUGGCUGGUCUGUUUCAUGGCCACUUCAGAGGGUUUUCGACUCGUUCUAGUUGGACUGAAACCCAAACCUGUGGAGACGAGACUGUGCCGGGGGUGAGGUACGUCCACAUCAGUCACUUUAUAGCCUGCUGGAUAUGGCCCUGGCCAGGGACGGGGGGAACCCAGGUUCAGGUCCCUGCACACACCCUUCCCCCCCGCAACAACUGUGAGUGAAAUUAACAAGGAUGCCAGAAACAGCUCCUAACCCCAGGGGCUGAACCGCUCAGGGAACAGCUGAGUUUAAACUGUUCUUAUGCAGGAGGCAGGCUUCUCCCUCCCUCAGCCAGUCUCCCUGCUGCAAGCUAGAGGGAGUACCUGCAGCCGCUGCUGAGUGCCAGGCAGGGGGAAAGCACGGCCUAGCGUCGGCAGCCUGGCUGGAGGAGGAGGGAAGACAUGGAGAAAAAUGUGACAGUGAGUUUUCACUUUUUCAGGCUUAUUCCAAUAUUAAAGUUUUAUUACAGACAGUAUUUUUA
rnacentral:lncRNA from 1 species